rnacentral:misc_RNA from 1 species
ACGAUGAGCACGGUUUCGUUAGUACUGCUUCGGCGUGGAAAACGGGAUCGGGUUGAUCGUGUCGGGCACGUUGUUGGGUGUCUGAGGGUACGGCCGGUUGUGGCUGUCCUUCUGAUCCGGCCCCAGUGAACUCAUCCGGUUUCGGGUGGGGUGGUGGGUGGCUGGUCGUUGUUUGUAACUGCACAGUGGACGCGAGCAUCUGUGGCCAAGUUUUUAAGGGCGCAGGUGGAUGCCUUGGCACCAGGAACCGAUGAAGGACGUGGGGGCAAGAUAAGCGAACGAGCGCCCCCCCUUCCGUCUUAAACAACCUACAAGGGAAAAGGACACUGUCCUCCCCUUCGCUGUGCAGGUGGCUUAGAAUCAUACGAUUUCCAAGCGACUGUCGAUUUGCAAAUGGUGAAUGAACAACUCAUGCUCUUUUGUCAUCGUCAAGGCACAUCUUCCUCAUCGA